ACAUACCUUCAGAGGAAGAAGCUCUUGUGGGGCUCAUAUCCCUCCCAGAAUAAACAUUUUGAAAGGAAGAUAACUAAGCCCACAGGAAACCAUACUUUUUUUUUUUUUAAGAUUAUGCUGAUAAAAGCAUGAAGAGAGGCCUUUCUGUGACUGACUAUAACAGUCAGAGUAAACGCCUACACUAUUCCUAGAGGCAAACUAAUUCUUUUCCCAGACUCGGCUGACCAGGAUUGUACAGACCGAUGGUCCAUUCUGGCAUGGUAAAUGUGAUCUCAUGAAAGGAAAUCUAUGGAGCUGCACCUGUAGGAAGCAUACAUGAUCAUGAAGGACUGAUCACACAAAUGUUGACACAGGCAGGCAGCAAAGAUGCACCAACGCAUUUUGAACUCUGAAUCUCCAAUGAGAGAAAUAAAAAACCAGCUACAUCCAUAUGUGAUGUAUAUGGCCACCUCUGUCUUCAUCUUCAAGACAAUUUGUCUUAUGGUUUCAUAAACUUACAUUUAUUACUCAAAACAUCAUUCUGAAGCUUGACUGCCUUCCACAAUGAGCACAGCACCAGGACUUUGGGCUCAUCAUGCUCAGCUUUGCAGCAUUGGACUUGUCUGCACCUUCCUGGAACCUGCAGGGCUGCAUUGGCCAUCUCAGCUGCCUCUUGUGAGCCCAGUAUCAAUCCAGCAUGUUGGAUGAGAUAUCAUUUGGAAAUAACAAGAGAAGAAAUGAGCCUUUAUAUUUCCUUCCUCAGGAAUUGGGAUGCCUUCCUUAAGUUAAAUAGCUAAGCUGUUCCUUGCAAACUUGGCCUCCCUUUCAUGUCUUGCCCACUAAAAGGUGAAUUUUCUGUUCAGUUUGGGAAUGUGGUAUCACAUUUAUUCGUGUCCCUUUUUUAAUCACCAGGAUGAAGGAGUUCAGUACAACACUAAGGCUCCAGCCUUAACCCAGUGGACUGCAUGCCUACAUCUUCAAUAAUUUUAGUGGGUGAAUAUUUCUAGAAAGCAUGGAAAAAUAUGACAAAGAAGAUGAUUGGAAAAUAAAAGAACAAAUGACAAAGCACCCAAGGAAAUGUACAAGGGAAAACAUAGCCAUGGAAGAUGAUGGAAAGAACAUCUUCAUGAUAAUUACCUGACUGAAAAGAAACCUCAGCAUGUGGAUAUACAUUCUUCAACAUUUUUCUGUUUCGUGUCUGUAGUAUAGUAUGGAUAACAUAACUACAAAACUAUUCUAUGAUUCCAUCUAAUAUAUAUAUUACAUUCAUCAUAUUAUUAUACUAUUACAACAGUAGUAAAAUAGUGAUGUAAAUAUGCUCUAAAUAAUAUCAAAUCAAUGUUAAUACAUUCCUAGGUUUUUACUAUACUAUUAAUAUUUAAAAUUUAUGUAUGAUAUUAUUUUAUAAAAGUGAUAAAAACUUGGCAUCACUAAAUCUAAAUAAUGCUUCAACAUUAUACUUUGCUAUAAGGAGAAAUUGUGUUACUACUAUCCUGCUACCAAUUUGGCUCUUAUAAUAACCUGUAUUUUCACAAAUCACUUCAAGUAAACAUAUGGUGCCAUAGCUUUUGGUAUAGUUUCAAUAUCUUGAAAUUUACAGCAGUAUGCAAAGCUAAUUGGAAUGAGUAUUUGAGAUCAUUUCAAAUAUAAAAAAAUCCUUUUUUCAUAUUUUUUAUUUUAUGGCUAAUGUUUAAAAAUAUCUUUUUUUCAGUUUGUUUCAUUUUUACUGAGGAUGCCAUAAAAGAGAGGCUACUUACAAUAAUGAGAGUUUAUGGCAAGUUAAUCUUUUAAUAAUACAUUUGCCCCUAGUUUCUCUGUUUCAGAGUUUAACUCAUAAUAAAUUAACUAAUAAUAAUUAACUCAUAAUAAAUUAACUAAUAUUAAAUAAAACAAUUUUGGCUGGUACUCCAGAUAAAACAUGCAGAGGUCCAUGAACUAAAGUAUUUUCUUCAGUAGAUACUUAAAAAUUUCUAUUCAUAAAAGUCAUAGUUAAAUCCUGGCAAUCCUUAUCACAACUGUUCAAGAUGUACUGUUCUAAAACAAGCACUUGCUUGGUUAUGCAUGCAUAAUAAACCUGCUUACUGAA